UGGGGAAUUUUGGACAAUGGGCGCAAGCCUGAUCCAGCCAUGCCGCGUGCGGGAUGAAGGCCUUCGGGUUGUAAACUGCUUUUGUACGGAACGAAAAGACUCCUUCUAAUAAAGGGGGUCCAUGACGGUACCGUAAGAAUAAGCACCGGCUAACUACGUGC
rnacentral:rRNA from 1 species